rnacentral:rRNA from 1 species
AUUGAACGCUGGCGGCAUGCCUUACACAUGCAAGUCGAACGGCAGCACGGGAGCAAUCCUGGUGGCGAGUGGCGAACGGGUGAGUAAAGCAUCGGAACGUGCCCAGUCGUGGGGGAUAACGUAGCGAAAGCUACGCUAAUACCGCAUACGAUCUGUGGAUGAAAGCGGGGGACCGUAAGGCCUCGCGCGAUUGGAGCGGCCGAUGUCAGAUUAGGUAGUUGGUGAGGUAAAGGCUCACCAAGCCGACGAUCUGUAGCUGGUCUGAGAGGACGACCAGCCACACUGGGACUGAGACACGGCCCAGACUCCUACGGGAGGCAGCAGUGGGGAAUUUUGGACAAUGGGCGCAAGCCUGAUCCAGCAAUGCCGCGUGCAGGAUGAAGGCCUUCGGGUUGUAAACUGCUUUUGUACGGAGCGAAAAGGUUUCCACUAAUACUGGGAGCUCAUGACGGUACCGUAAGAAUAAGCACCGGCUAACUACGUGCCAGCAGCCGCCGUAAUAC